rnacentral:rRNA from 1 species
GAUGAACGCUGGCGGCGUGCCUAAUACAUGCAAGUCGAGCGAACAGACGAGGAGCUUGCUCCUCUGACGUUAGCGGCGGACGGGUGAGUAACACGUGGAUAACCUACCUAUAAGACUGGGAUAACUUCGGGAAACCGGAGCUAAUACCGGAUAAUAUAUUGAACCGCAUGGUUCAAUAGUGAAAGACGGUUUUGCUGUCACUUAUAGAUGGAUCCGCGCCGCAUUAGCUAGUUGGUAAGGUAACGGCUUACCAAGGCAACGAUGCGUAGCCGACCUGAGAGGGUGAUCAGCCACACUGGAACUGAGACACGGUCCAGACUCCUACGGGAGGCAGCAGUAGGGAAUCUUCCGCAAUGGGCGAAAGCCUGACGGAGCAACGCCGCGUGAGUGAUGAAGGUCUUCGGAUCGUAAAACUCUGUUAUUAGGGAAGAACAAAUGUGUAAGUAACUAGGCACGUCUUGACGGUACCUAAUCAGAAAGCCACGGCUAACUACGUGC